rnacentral:rRNA from 1 species
GACAGAGGGUGCAAACGUUGUCCGGAUUUAUUGGGCGUAAAGAGCUCGUAGGCGGCUUGUCGCGUCGUCCGUGAAAACCCACAGCUCAACUGUGGGCUUGCGGUCGAUACGGGCAGGCUAGAGUUCGGUAGGGGAGACUGGAAUUCCUGGUGUAGCGGUGGAAUGCGCAGAUAUCAGGAGGAACACCGGUGGCGAAGGCGGGUCUCUGGGCAGUAACUGACGCUGAGGAGCGAAAGCGUGGGGAGCGAACAGG